rnacentral:rRNA from 1 species
UACGUAGGGGGCAAGCGUUGUCCGGAUUUAUUGGGCGUAAAGAGCGUGUAGGCGGCCAUACAGGUCAGCUGUGAAAACUCGAGGCUCAACCUCGAGACGUCGGUUGAAACCGUAUGGCUAGAGUCCGGAAGAGGGGGGCGGAAUUCCCAGUGUAGCGGUGAAAUGCGUAGAUAUCGGGAAGAACACCCGUGGCGAAGGCGGGUCUCUGGGCCGUAACUGACGCUGAGGAGCGAAAGCGUGGGGAGCGAACAGG